GACGAACGCUGGCGGCGUGCUUAACACAUGCAAGUCGAACGGAAAGGCCCUGCUUUUGUGGGGUGCUCGUGUGGCGCACGGGUGUGUAAAACGUGUGUAACAUGUCCUUGUCUUUGGGAUAACUUCAGGAAACUGGGGCUAAUACCGGAUAGGAGAUCCUGCUGCAUGGUGGGGGUUGGAAAGUUUCGGCGGUUGGGGAUGGAAUCGCGGCUUAUCGGCUUGUUGGUGGGGUAGUGGCUUACCAAGGCUUUGACGGGUAGCCGGCCUGAGAGGGUGACCGGCGACAAUGGGACUAAGAUACGCCGCAGUCUGCAACGGGAGGCAGCAGUGGGAAGUAUUGCGGAACGGGCGCGAGUGUGUUGCAGCAGCGCCGGGUGCGUGAUGACGUCCUUCGAGUUAUAAACCGCUUUCGCCUGAGACAAAGCGGUAGUGACGGUAAUGAGUAAGAAAGCACCGGCUAACUACGUG
rnacentral:rRNA from 1 species